GAGAACUUGUUAAACUCUCCUGUGGACCGACCGUUCCAAAGAUAGCAGGCACAGGGAAAUGGGAGGGUGUUAAGUGCCCCUUUGUAACACCUCCGCGUUAGGGCUUUCCAAAAAUCCACUUUUGCCCUAUUCAAAGUAAUGUUAAAGAUGGGGAUAGUGCAUGGCUCUCGUUAGUCUUUUUUUGUUGUUUGUUUUUUUUUUCCUUUAAAUCUUUGUAAUUAAGCAAGUCUCUUGACUGUUAGAUGUCUGAGUCAUGGUGUCAUGGUAGUUGAAUGGGUACACUGAUAAUUUGACAAGAGAAAAGGACUUUUCUGUGUUUAUAAAAGAUGCUUUGACUUACAGCCCUGUGUCCAGGGAGCCAUUACUUAAUCUAUCAGGCAUCUCAUGAUAUCUGAUGUUUUCACAAGAUCUGAUCAAGUCAGAUGACUACAUGAAAGAUUUGUAAGUUUUUAUCCUACUUUUUUUCAGAUCACACAUUGCAAAGGAAAUAAGAUUUUUUAUUUUCAACUGCCUUUUGAAUGUUUAUUGAUGGAAAUGUACUCUAGUAGGAUACAAAGAAUCAAGAAGAAAGAAAAAGAAGGUGAAGUUUUUACAAAAUCAAACUGGUUUGGGGAUAUCUUCUGUAACUAGUUUUGUGACACUCCCCUCCCCAAAUAUGUAUGGGCAGUAGAUUUGGAGUUACAUUGUCCCUUGGUGUUUGAGUAACUCACAAAUUAAGGCUAGGUUUAGCAUCUUUAUUUUUUAUUAGUGUAUUCAGUAGUUUGCAUCCAGAUAAAAGGAAAAUCUUUGCUUAGCUCUAGUUUAGAAAUGCUGUCUCGGAGGAUGUCAUGCUAACUAGUGCCUUCCACCAGUGCCUUCCACCACCAUGUCAUCACUUGCUGAGGGCACCUCAGCCCCUCCACUGGAGCUCACCUGCUUUCCAGCUGAGCCUGAGCUGCUCAGACCAGGCCUGACCUUCGCCUGGCAGCAGGGAGCUUGCUGAAGUACAUUAUAAUGACAAAGGUGCCACAAUACAUAUUUCAAAUCAAAGAAAAGGGAUGCUGCUCUAAGAAAUCCAGUGCCUGCCAGAAGACAUCCUUUCAGCCCUGACACAAGUUAUCUGUCAGCCCCAAGUGCUGAGCUGUCGACAGAGAGAGGUGGAGGUUUCUGUGCACGGCAGAUAGCUGCAGCUACUGUUCACAGGGAAGACACCCAGACCUAUCAAGGACUAUGUAAGAGAUGAGAUCUGGUUUAAAAAUACACAAAUGGUAUCAGUGGAGUUAUUCCUCUGGUGAAUAGCACAUUUGUUUCUCAGGAAUCAAGUGCCUUACUGGAAUCAGUGAGAAAUGGGGAAAGAGUAAAUAAAGAUUUCUUUUGAAGAUCAA